CUACGGGUGGCAGCAGUGGGGAAUAUUGGACAAUGGGCGAAAGCCUGAUCCAGCCAUGCCGCGUGUGUGAAGAAGGCCUUCGGGUUGUAAAGCACUUUCAGUGGGGAAGAAAGCCUUGGGGCUAAUACCCUCGAGGAAGGACAUCACCCACAGAAGAAGCACCGGCUAACUCCGUGCCAGCAGCCGCGGUAAUACGGAGGGUGCGAGCGUUAAUCGGAAUUACUGGGCGUAGAGCGCGCGUAGGCGGUCUGAUAAGCCGGUUGUGAAAGCCCCGGGCUCAACCUGGGAACGGCAUCCGGAACUGUCAGGCUAGAGUGCAGGAGAGGAAGGUAGAAUUCCCGGUGUAGCGGUGAAAUGCGUAGAGAUCGGGAGGAAUACCAGUGGCGAAGGCGGCCUUCUGGACUGACACUGACGCUGAGGUGCGAAAGCGUGGGUAGCAAACAGGAUUAGAUACCCCGGUAGUC
rnacentral:rRNA from 1 species